rnacentral:rRNA from 1 species
UACCUGGUUGAUCCUGCCAGAAGUCAUAUGCUUGUCUCAAAAAUUAAGCCAUGCAUGUCUAAGUACAUGCCGAAACAAGGCGAAACCGCGAAUGGCUCAUUAAAUCAGUUAUAUAAUUCCUUAGAUCGUUUCUUCCUACUUGGAUAACUGUGGCAAUUCUAGAGAUAAUACAUUCAGUGAGCCCGAAGCCCCUCGGGGCGACGGGUGCUUUUAUUAGACCAAGAUCAAUCGGGCCUCGGUCCGUUUUGUGUGGUGACUCUGGAUAACUUUGUGCUGAUCGCACGGCCACGAGCCGGCGACGUUUCUUUCAAGUGUCUGCCUUAUCAACUGUCGAUGGUAGGUUAUGCGCCUACCAUGGUUGUUACGGGUAACGGAGAAUCAGGGUUCGAUUCCGGAGAGGGAGCCUGAGAAACGGCUACCACAUCCAAGCAAGGCAGCAGGCGCGCAAAUUACCCACUCCCGGCACGGGGAGGUAGUGACGAAAAAUAACAAUACGGGACUCUUUUGAGGCCCCGCAAUUGAAAUGAGUACACUCUAAAUCCUUUAACGAGGAUCCAUUGGAGGGCAAGUCUGGUGCUAGCAGCCGCGGUAAUUCCAGCUCCAAUAGCGUAUACUAAAGUUGCUGCGGUUAAAAAGCUCGUAGUUGGAUCUCAGUUACAGGCGGGAAGUGCGUGGACACCACGUUACGGCCCGUGCUGAACAUCAUGCAUGUCGUGGCUUGGUUCCCUUCAUCAGGUGCCUCACCCUGGCCGGCGCGUUUACUUUGAAAAAAUUAGAGUGCUCAACGCAGGCGAUUAGCCUGAAUAACAGUGCAUGGAAUAAUAGAACAAGAUCCUGUUUCUGUUCUGUUGGUUUUUGGAAUACAGGAUAAUGAUUAAGAUGGACAGACGGGGGCAUUCGUAUUGCGGCGCUAGAGGUGAAAUUCUUGGACAGUCGCAAGACGAACUACUGCGAAAGCAUUUGCCAAGAAUGAUUUCAUUGAUCAAGAACGAAAGUUAGAGGUUCGAAGGCGAUCAGAAAAUUUGAUGUUUUAUGGCGCAAGGGCAACACGAGGGCCAAAUAGCGCCAAGGCCCUGUUUAGCUAAUUAAUA